AGACAGGUAUAGGUCGUACGGGUUUAUUUACUCGGUUGUCUGGGUGACAUAUUUAGAAAUUUUUUGGGGGGUGGUAGAGGGUUAGUUCGUAUUAAAAGUGUUUUGAUGUUUUUGGUGUUUAGGAUGUUCUUGAGAAUGUUGGGGCAGUGUGUGGGCAGGUUGAGCCUAAUAAGGUGGUUGUGCAUGCUAUAGAGAAGGUAGUUGUGCAUGCUAUAGGGAAGUUAAUUUAGUGGUCCACGUGUACGUUAUGGGUUAAUGGUUUUUAUUGUUGCCCAUGAGCAGGAGGGCAAAGCUGAAGAAAAGGUUGAAAACGAGAACGAUGAAAGCGAUAGCCAGGUUGAGUUUUGCGUCCACGUACCUGUUAUAGUACCUUUAUGAGUACACGUGGGGGUGAAUGAAUCUCUUUUCU
rnacentral:lncRNA from 1 species